AUUCCAGGCCGAGUGGGCACCAUCACGGGGCGGGGGGGUCUCAUCACUGGAGGCCCGGGCUUCAUGGGCAUAUGGCCUCCCACUGGGGGCCUCAUCCCAGGAGCAGGUCCCCCUGGCAUCAUCCUAGGAGAAAGGGGCUCAUCAUUGGCCUCAUUGGGGGGGCCGUAUGGGGUGCUGGCAUCAUCCCGGGGCGAGGAGGACCCGGGAGACUGGGCGGAGGGGGGGGUCACCGCCCCUGCAGGAGGAGGAGCAGAGAAUGGAGGUGGAGGCCUCUCGCCUUGUUGAAUGCAGCGGUUGUCCUAUCAGUCAGGCUCUGGGCCUGCUCCUCCAUCCGUUUCUGAUGGUAGAAAUUUCCUUCACAUUCUCUCUGUGUUCCCUGCCGCUGCAGUGAGCCUUUCUCACAGAGGGAGAGUCGUGGGUGAGGUACGUGUCGCAGUAGUCACAGUAAAACUCAGGCACGGAGCUCUGCAGGCCGUUGAGCGCUCAUGCCCCGCUCACCAGAAGUCUCUCUCUCUCUCUCUUGUUUGCUUUGUUUGUAUGAAAAAUAAAUGGUUUUUCACAUGUUUUUAAAUCUCCACAGCAACCGUAAGAGGUUGAUACUAUCACAAGCAUACACAUGCUGAACAGACACACACACACACACACUCAAAAGGGAGGAACUGAUGGCAGGAAGAUUUGACUCUUGCCCGAAUUCACGCAAUACCAUGCAUGUGAAUGAAGACAAAUCCAGAAAUGUUUCGCUCAAGAGGCGGGUCCGCCUUUUGGGACCCACACGCUUCCUGCCGCUACUGACAAAUCACACCCAAAUCCAGGGCAAAUGUUCUCUGUGCUCUUCCAGCCUUCAAGACACACCUGACUUCCCAGAUGCGCGGAAUGAUGCGGUGAUCACUGCUUACGUGGACGGUGCUGGGAAGGAGAGCCACGGGCACCCUGAAAGGCAUUACAGCUGCGUGUGACUUGGUUGGAGAAAUCAAGGAAGGCUCUCCUGAGGAGGUGAUGCUGGCUCUGGGAACUGAGGAUGGGAAACAACACAGACAAAAGCCCUGGUUGGGGGGUGGAGGGGUGGAGGAUGGGGCAGCUGUUUUGUUUCAGGGGGCUUUAAAGAGCCUGUGUCGCCGGAGACAUUCUUCAAAUCUCUGAUGUGCUGACAACUGUGAAGCAGGGGAAGGACAUGGGGCACCCGGGUGCCCGUUUUAGGAAGACACUUGCUCACGGGGCUGUGCAGUGCAGAGCUGAGACCUUCGAGCAAAGGCGCCUAGUGCCGGCCCUUAGGGCAGGGCCCCGUGUGUGCGUGCUGGGGGGACGGAGGCCCCUUCUCUCCUGACUCCUCCCGAGGGUCCUGGUCUCCGAGGGGCGUCCCACACUCUUCCAGGCUCCGUGUCUGAGGACCAGCCUUGCUGGAGAUUCUCCAGCCGUCAACUCUCGGGGUGCAUUUCAGUCACAUUUCCGCUGGGCCCACGGCUGCCCUGAGGAGCGUGACCCAUGGAGACGGACGGGGACGACAACUGGGCCCAUCUGAGGGAGACGCAAGGGGCGGCUUCUCCCUUGGGGAAAAGGGCAGAGCCGCGGGACCGAGGAGUGAGUGCAGCGGGCAAAGUGCUCCUGAGCACAGAGCCAGAAGGAAGCCCAGAGCACUCACUGCCUUCAGGCCCAAUAACCACUGUCACCAUCAGGACGGAUGGAGCCAAGGGCUCCGGGGUGGCCGAGGGGCAGGGGAGGCGGGCGUCCUCUCUCUGUCCCCGCGGGCCGGGAUCCCGAGACCGUCCCGUCAGCCUCUCAGCCUCCGGAGGACGGGCUUCUCAGGCCACUCCAGGGGAGUGCAUGGCCACACGGUCACACGGUGCAGACCCACCACUGACGGUGACCUCUGGCCGCAAAGGCCCUGCACACCGCCAGCCCAAACCCCAGGCCCCGCCCCUGCACUCUCCCAUCACACGCGAGUUCCUUUCCUCGCCCUCUGCUCGCGGUGCUCCCCAAUGGGGGUGGGGGGGGCUCGUCCUCAGCACCCAGCGCUGCAUGGACCCAGGAGGUGCUUCCUGGUCAGUACCUGAGUGGAUGCGCAGCUGCGCCCACGAGGGGUGCACGGGGGGCGUCCUGGGGGGGCGCACCCCUUCCAAGCUGGCCCCUCGGUAGCGUCUGCCGCUGCGGAGCCAGAGCGCCGGCGGCGCGCACGAUCUGCCUCGGUCUCCCCAGCAGAAGAGUUGAGUUUCGGCCUGUCCCGGCUUCGUUGUUCACGGGAAUCCCCCCGCGCAGGGUGCACCGGGCAGGGAAGCGCCCACGGAUGGGAGAUCCGUGUCGGCGGCCCCGAGGGGACCUCGCGGGUGGGGGUGGGGAUGGGGGUCUCGCGGCUCACCGCCUCGGCCGCCCCGCGCUGGAGACACGUGCAGGUGGGGGGCGGCCGCGCGGGUGCAGCGGCGGGUCCCGGGCUGGCGUGUCCGGAGGCGUGUCCCGGGCGGCGUGUCCCGGGCUGGGGCAGCAGGUCCUGGUUGGCGGGUCCCGCGUUGCAACAAAGGGUCCCGGGCUGGGGCGGCGGGUCCGGGCUGGCAAGUCCCAGACUGGCGGGUCCUGGGUUGCAACGAAGGGUCCCGGCCUACGGUGGCGGGUCCCGGUUGGCGGGUCCCAGGCUGGGGUGGCGGGUCCGGGCUGGCGAGUCCCGGGCUGCAGCGGCUGGUCCCGGGUUGGAGCGGUGGGUCCGAGUCGGCGGAUCCCGGGCUGGGGUGGCGGGUCCGAGUCGGCGGGUCCCGGGCUAGGGAGGCGGGUCUGGCUGGUAGGUCCCGGGUUGCAGCGGCGGGUCCCGGGUCCCGGGCUAGGACGGCGGGUCCGGGUCGGCGGGUCCCGGACUGGGGCGGCGGGUCCGGGUCGGCGGGUCCCGGACUGGGGUGGCGGGUCCCGGGUUGCAGCGGCGAGUCCCGGGCCGGGGCGGCGGGUCCGGAUCGGCGGGUCCCGGGCCGGGGCGGCGGGUCCGGGGCGGCGGGUCCCGGGUUGCAGCGGCGGGUCCCGGGCCGGGGCGGCGGGUCCCGGGUUGCAGUGGCGGGUCCCGGGCCGGGGCGGCGGGGCCGGGUCGGCGGGUCCGGGUCCCGGCGGCGGCGGCGGCGUGCGUGUGCGCCUGCGCGCGCCUGCGCACUGCGGGCCGGGCGGGGGUGAAGACGGGGCCGGCCUGGGCGCGACAGCGACGCAAGAUGGCAGCCACCACGGGCUCGGACAAUUUAUGAAAACCGAAUAUACAGCCUUAAAAUAGAAUGUGGACCUAAGUACCCAGAAGCACCUCCCUUUGUAAGAUUCGUAACGAAGAUUAAUAUGAACGGAGUCAAUAGUUCUAACGGCGUGGUGGACCCGAGGGC